AAGAGCUCAAAUUUGUAAUCUGUUACUUUCAGUAACCGAGUUGUAAUCUCGAGAAGUAUUUUCCGCGUUGGACCGCACACAAGUCUGUUGGAAUACAGCGUCAUAGUGGUGAGAACCCCGUAUCUGGUGCGGAUGCCCAAUGCUUUGUGAUAUACUUUCGAAGAGUCGAGUUGUUUGGGAAUGCAGCUCAAAUUGGGUGGUAAAUUCCAUCUAAAGCUAAAUAUUGGCGAGAGACCGAUAGCGAACAAGUACCGUGAGGGAAAGAUGAAAAGCACUUUGGAAAGAGAGUUAACAGUACGUGAAAUUGUUGGAAGGGAAACGCUUGAAGUCAGACUUGCAUUUUGGAGUUCAACCGCAAGGUGUAUUCUUCAAUUUCGCAGGCCAGCAUCAGUUUUCGGGGGUGGAAAAUCGUAAUUGGA
rnacentral:rRNA from 1 species